UGGGGAAUAUUGCACAAUGGGGGGAACUCUGAUGCAGCGACGCCGCGUGAACGAAGAAGGCUUUCGAGUCGUAAAGUUCUUUUAUAUGGGAAGAUAAUGACGGUACCAUAAGAAGAAGCCCCGGCUAACUACGUGCCAGCAGCCGCGGUAAUACGUAGGGGGCUAGCGUUGUCCGGAAUCACUGGGCGUAAAGGGUUCGCAGGCGGAAAUGCAAGUCAGGUGUAAAAGGCAGUAGCUUAACUACUGUAAGCAUUUGAAACUGCAUAUCUUGAGAAGAGUAGAGGUAAGUGGAAUUUUUAGUGUAGCGGUGAAAUGCGUAGAUAUUAAAAAGAAUACCGGUGGCGAAGGCGACUUACUGGGCUCAUUCUGACGCUGAGGAACGAAAGCGUGGGUAGCAAACAGG
rnacentral:rRNA from 1 species